GUUAACCACCCCGGGCUAAAAGCCCGAGGCUUGCAAAAGCCUGGUUGACCAGCCUCAGUCGGCAGCAAUGCUGACUACGUUGCAGAGAGGUUCAAGACUCACUCCGGGGUGCUUCCUCAGCUCCGGACCCUG
rnacentral:sRNA from 1 species